CCUACGGGAGACAGCAGUGAGGAAUAUUGGUCAAUGGACGAGAGUCUGAACCAGCCAAGUAGCGUGAAGGAUGACUGCCCUAUGGGUUGUAAACUUCUUUUAUAUGGGAAUAAAAUGUUCCACGUGUGGGAUUUUGUAUGUACCAUAUGAAUAAGGAUCGGCUAACUCCGUGCCAGCAGCCGCGGUAAUACGGAGGAUCCGAGCGUUAUCCGGAUUUAUUGGGUUUAAAGGGAGCGUAGGUGGAUUGUUAAGUCAGUUGUGAAAGUUUGCGGCUCAACCGUAAAAUUGCAGUUGAAACUGGCAGUCUUGAGUACAGUAGAGGUGGGCGGAAGUCGUGGUGUAGCGGUGAAAUGCUUAGAUAUCACGAAGAACUCCGAUUGCGAAGGCAGUUCACUGGACUGCAACUGACACUGAGGCUCGAAAGUGUGGGUAUCAAACAGGAUUAGAUACCCGGGUAGUC
rnacentral:rRNA from 1 species